AUUGAACGCUGGCGGCAUGCCUAAUACAUGCAAGUCGAGCGAACAGAUGAAGUGCUUGCACUUCUGGCGUUAGCGGCGAACGGGUGAGUAACACGUAAGGAAUCUACCUAUAAGCGGGGGAUAACAUUCGGAAACGGGUGCUAAUACCGCAUAAUAUCUUCUUCCGCAUGGAAGAAGAUUGAAAGACGGCUCUGCUGUCACUUAUAGAUGACCUUGCGGUGCAUUAGUUAGUUGGUGGGGUAAUGGCCUACCAAGACGAUGAUGCAUAGCCGACCUGAGAGGGUGAUCGGCCACAUUGGGACUGAGACACGGCCCAAACUCCUACGGGAGGCAGCAGUAGGGAAUCUUCCGCAAUGGGCGAAAGCCUGACGGAGCAAUGCCGCGUGAGUGAAGAAGGCCUUCGGGUCGUAAAACUCUGUUAUAAGAGAAGAACAAAUUGUAGAGUAACUGCUACAGUCUUGACGGUAUCUUAUCAGAAAGCCACGGCUAACUACGUGCCAGCCGCCGCGGUAA
rnacentral:rRNA from 1 species